AGUCAGAGUAUAAGCGGUUAGUGCGGCCAGCCCGCAUGGGACAUUGCUCUGCAA
rnacentral:ncRNA from 1 species